rnacentral:rRNA from 1 species
UACGUAGGGGGCAAGCGUUGUCCGGAUUUAUUGGGCGUAAAGCGCGUGUAGGCGGCCACACAGGUCCGCUGUGAAAACUCGAGGCUCAACCUCGAGCUGUCGGUGGAAACCGUGUGGCUAGAGUCCGGAAGAGGAGACUGGAAUUCCCGGUGUAGCGGUGGAUGCGCAGAUAUCGGGAGGAACACCCGUGGCGAAGGCGGGUCUCUGGGCAUUAACUGACGCUGAGGAGCGAAAGCAUGGGGAGCGAACAGG